GGCCGGCCCCGCCCCCCACCUCUUGUAGCUUGUCUGCCAGGUGCGCUGAGGACUCGGGCGGCGCACGAGGCGGCGCGUUCGGGUUUCCACGGUGAAGGGGGCGGAGCCUCUGAGAGAAAGUUUCCACCGAAACUUGGACUGGCGCGCGACCACGGACGCCUAGCCCUUGAGGGUUCGCCUUUCGCCAGAACUUCACCUCUUCACACCCAGCGCCAAAAUGAAUAACGCAACCUCUGAGUCUCCCGGCUGGUCUGAGAGACUGAGGAACUCGCGGCCCAAGUCUGAGCAGCGCGCAGAGCUGGAGUGCAGGCUUAAUCAGCUGCCUCAGGAGAAGAGACAACUAGAAGCACACAGGACUCUAUUGAGACCCCAGCACACCCACCUCCGGCCAGCGCCCGCACUGCCUGAUCUUUGUUUAUGUGGUAUUUCUGUCUCUUACUUUUCUGAUGAAGAAAAAAAAAAUGCUCCAAAGAAGAAAUCAAAGAAUGAGGAAAUGAACCUGAAUUUGCCCAAAGCCCGUCUACUCCAUUCAGUCCUUCUGUCUCAGUGAUCCCAGAAGGAAUGACACCCUGUUAAAGGCAGAGACUUUAAUGAGAAGCGUGUGUUGGGACAAGAGCACCGAGGGCAAGAAAGGAAGCACUGACAGCAGCAGCCAGAGUACACAAGGCCCCCAGUGACGUUCGUGAAAUGUGUCAGUCUCACGCUUUGCUCAUGAUAUUUAGUGCCAAGAACUGCUGAAGCUGAACAUUCCCCUUGGAGUGCAAGGAAUAAGACAAGCUCUGUGUGAGACAUUUUUGGUCUUGCUAAGGUCAGUGUGGUGGGUUGGUUGCUGAGGAAGAGUUCUGACAAUUGCUAUGGAGAAGCUACAGAAGCACAGGCAAGCAAAACUGUUUGUUUUCCAAAUGCAAAAUUAGAGGGAAGCACAGUAAGCCAAGAUUCCAUGCGUAAUAAGUUUUGCAAAUAAACAUCAAUUAGAAGAGAAACUUUAGGAAAGGAAAUUGACAUAGUCAGAGUCCUUGGAGAAAACCUGUCUCUGAGUGGUUAGACUACUCACAAGCAGGGACAUUGCCUUUCAUCAUCCUAUGACUUCUUUAUCUUUACUACUUAUUUGUUUAUUUUAAAGAAAAAAUUUUGAGACAGGGUUUUAUUACAUAGUUCAUGCUGGCCUCGAACUCAGGUUGAUCCUUUUGUCUCUCCCUCCCAAGUGCUGGAAUCACGGGGCGUGCGCCACCCUGCUUGACAACUUUUUUAUUUUGAGAACUAGGAAUAAGAAAGUUCACCUGUAGUCUCUGCUGCACCCUUCACCACACUGUGUGUUUUAAGCUGAAAGAGGUGGGCUCGGUUUGUUCCAGAAGGAAGUGAGGGGCAUCUAUUUCUGUUUAGUUGUUUUUAGGAAUUCUUUUGGCCAGCCUAAAAAAAAAGGAGAAUGUGGCAUUGAAUGCUACAACAGCACGAAUCUUGAGGACGUUUGCUAAGCAAAACAAGCCAGUCAGGAAAACACUGUGAUUCCACUUAGAUGAGGCAUCUGGAGUGGCCAAAUUCAGAGCUGUGGCUUUCGAGGUGGUGCAGAGGGAGAAGGAGGGGUUAUUGACCAGUGGGUGUGCAGUUCCAGUUUUGCAAGAUGAAAAAAUUCUCAGACUUUCGUGCAAUGACAUGAACAUUCUUAACACUACUGAACUGUACACUUAAAAUUGGUGAGCAUGGUACAUUUUAUGCUGAAAAUUAUAGGCUAAAAUGUUUUUUUUUUAACCACAGUUAAAAAUAAACAGGAAAAGAAAAUGUGAAAAUAAAAAAAAAAUACACUUGGCAUUGAUUUUAAUACAACAGGACAAAGAGCAUUAGCACUUUUUCAAUUAAGUGCAAUUUAAGAGCAUUACCCAUACCUAAUAUCUAUUUAAGCUGCUAUAUUUAAAAGUAUAAUUUAACUGAAAGUAACCCCAACAUGGUUAUUUCAAUAGCGUGUUUUCUUGUUCCCAUCAUGAAAACCUGUUUUCUGCCAGUAUUUAUUUGCGUACGUCACUAGAUGUUUAUUCGUGAUCUACUAUGUGCCCAACUUGGUUUCAGGCACUAAAAAUAUAGUCACAAUGAUGGCAGAAGUCUAAUACAGUAAUAGUGAAAGCGACCAACAAAUAUAGCAAAGGGUGUUUACUACUAGAGGUUUGGACCAGUGAGCACACAGACAGUGCCUGUCAAACUUUGGGACUGGUGUGAGUCACAAGGGGAUCUUAUUAAAAUGCAGACCUGAGUCCACAGCCUAGGCUGGAACUGAUAUUCUGGACUUAAAUAAGUUGUCAAGUGAAGCCAGUGCCCCUUGCCCCUUGCCAUGUUUUGCAGCUGGGCAUAUGGGACAAUAUUAUGAUGCAAGAUUUUUAAGGUAUAAUAUUAAUAUGUAAAGCAUCCUGCAAGGUUGAAAGUUUCCCUUUUCUUGGGGUAGAGAGCACAUGCUGGUACUAAAAUAAUACAUAGGUGAAUGAGAUGCAUCUACAGACAAUUAUGAUACCAGGAAAAUGUGAAAUGCACACCCAGGAAAGUAGAAAGUGGCAUAGAGCAGAGCUGGAGAGGAGAAACAGCAUCCAGACUGGGGAGGGGAGGGGUUCGGGAACCCACCUAAGGCAGGAGGCCUCAAGAACUGAGCCAGGAAGAUGCUCAAGAUGUCUGCUUGUGGGGGGAGCAGGACGGUGCUCAGGCCGGUGUCGGGUAGGCAUUUUUGUGCUUUCAGCUCUGAGUUUGUUCAGGGACUGGCUAGUGGCUCUGUUGGGCAGCUAUUCCAUGUAGAAAAAAGACAAGGCUGGAAAGGAGGUCCACAGAAAGUUGUUAUGUGAUGAAAAACUAAUCCCAACAAGACCGACCCUAGAAUUCCCAAAACGGGACCUAAACUUUCCUGACCUUUCAAGCCAUGCGCAGUGCCAUAUACCUGUAAACCCAACACCCUCAACAAACUCAAGGAAGACGCGGCCCAGUGCAAAGGCCUUGGGUUCAGUCCCCAGUACGGGGGAGUAGGGGCAGGGCAGGUGGGGGGUGGCGAGGACCCCUGACCUCCCUCCUGCUCCUUUUCUCUGAACACUAAGCACACAGUACUGUGGUUUGUUGUGCAGUCUGUCUGUUCCAUUCAGGAGCCCCCAUGUUUCAGCUCCUCUGGCUGCUCAUGGAUAUUUUCCCUGACUGUAUCAUUUCCCAGCUUGGUGAUUUUUCUCUCUUUCUCUAGCACGGAAUCUUUUCAGACAGGGUAUUUGUCAGUAGAUUUCUUUGCCUUGGUCCCAAGUACCCUUUGGCGAGAAGUAGCUUUGGGUUUUCUGUGGGGUUCUGCUCCCAUCCUGGGAAUACUUGUCAAGACCGGCCCUCAUUCCUGCCGCGGCGAUUCGGGAUGGGUGUCGGCCCCCCAUUCCCUCAGUCUUCCCAGCUCCUUGCUGUCCUCCUCAGUUACAUUACCUCCUUGGUGCUUGGAAGUCCUGGAGGUUGAAGUCUGAUUAAAACGGGGGAAGGACUCAAAAACAAAAGCAAAGUAAUACCAGUUAAGCCUCUCUUGUUUACGUAGGCUGGAUGUACUGGGGAUUGAACCCAGGGACUCCUGCAUGCCAGGUAAGGGGUCUGCCACUGAGCUACAUCCCCAGUCUGUUUUACUUUUAGACUAGGUUUCACUAAAUUGCCCUAUUUGGCCUUGAACUUGUGACCCUUCUUCCCCAGCCCCC
rnacentral:lncRNA from 1 species